CCUACGGGUGGCAGCAGUGAGGAAUAUUGGUCAAUGGGCGUAAGCCUGAACCAGCCAAGUCGCGUGAGGGAUGAAGGUUCUAUGGAUCGUAAACCUCUUUUAUAAGGGAAUAAAGUGCGGGACGUGUCCCGUUUUGUAUGUACCUUAUGAAUAAGGAUCGGCUAACUCCGUGCCAGCAGCCGCGGUAAUACGGAGGGUCCGGGCGUUAUCCGGAUUUAUUGGGUUUAAAGGGUGCGUAGGCCGCAUGUGAAGUCAGCUGUGAAAUGUCCGGGCUCAACCCGGGCCUUGCCGCGGGAACUGGGGUGCUUGAGUCCGCGUGAAGCAGGCGGAAUGCGUGGUGUAGCGGUGAAAUGCUUAGAUAUGACGAAGAACCCCGAUUGCGAAGGCAGCUUGCUGCGGCGGAACUGACGCUGAUGCACGAAAGCGUGGGUAUCGAACAGGAUUAGAUACCCGAGUAGUC
rnacentral:rRNA from 1 species